AUCCAACGGAUGAAAAUCAUUCAAUGUUUCACAUCCAACGACAGUGGGGCUCACGCGACGCGAGGUCACGCGGUGGGGGUCAUGCGGUGGGAGAUCGAUCGCGCAAUCAAUCGUAUCCCCUUACUCCGCUUCCUUCCUCCGCAAUGGCAACUGCGCCUCCGCCUCUCCUCCACCUCCGGCUUCCCCCAAAGUCCAUUCGAUCCUCUCACCCUCGCCUCGCCUCGCCUCGGCGAAUCGGAUUCCGAGCACUCACAACCGGAUCGGAGUGAGUUCCAUGGCCUGAAUCACUCCUCCACCUCCGGCUUCCCCCAAAAUCCAUUCGAUUCUCUCAACCUCGCCUCGGCGAAUCGGAUUCCGAGCACUCACAACCGGAUCGGAGCGAGUUCCAUGGCCUGAAUCAUGGGGGGACUGGCCGAGGAGAGGGGCGCCUCUCUCUCUCACACACACACUGGAUUGGUUACUCUGGAUUCCGUUGCUUAAUUUGUCCACUGCAAAUGCAACUCCACGACCAGCUCACCGAUCGCCGGACACUGGUGGAUCCAGUGUGACUGAUUCCGCUAAUCCUCCCAUUCGCCAGCCGGCACUGCUUUGGGGAACUCUAGCUCUCAUUAGGCACCUGUUGUGAUCAAUCAUGCCACCGAACUGAAGCCGACCAUCCCACUGCCUUUGAUCGAUUGCCUGUGUAUCAGGCUGUUGAUGUUUUGUAAGUCACAAUUGGGGAAAAAAUUUGAACUUGUGAUGGCUGAAGGAACACGAUAACUUUGGGUUGCAUCCCGAUGUGAACAGGUAAUGUGUUGAGUUGCUUUUUUUUUCUCCAAAUGACUUAUUAAUUUGCAGUGGUACACCAUGGCACCUGCUCCUUUUUUCUAUGUAAGCAAGGAAUUUUGGUUGGUUCUAUUAAUUUUUCUUUGGUUGGAUGUAAGGUGUAGUUUUCAGGUCAUUGGAGGCUCUAUAUAUGCUUGUAAUCCAUGUGAUUUCCUCUUAUCACAUUGAAGGCAUCUCCUACUGUUGAUAUUUGUCGGUCCCCAAAUAAUACUCAUCUUUGCAAAAUUUUUCUUUCCUUGAAUUAUUCAAUGUCUUAGAGUACAUGACCUUGCAAUGCCACUUCCUUCUUGUUGCAGCACAUUAUUCAGUUUGCGUUAUGAAUCAAAAAGUGGUUAUAGUAGAUAGAAAUAGUUUGGAAGAACAGGGAGCCUAAAGAUCCUUUCAGUGGAUGUCCGUGUUUGGGCGGCUUGAGACCAUCUUAAUAUUGUAGGUGCAGGAAAUUAAACUAAGGUAAAAGCGAGAUGCUGAUGUUAGGUGUAGAUGAUAUGGAUACCUGAAUCAGUCCAAACCUGCUUAGGUUGGAGCUACUUCUCGAUAGGAAUCCAAAUAUCAGAGGGAAGGUUGUCCUUGUACAAAUUGUCAAUCUAGCAAGAAGUACAGUGGAACACAGAGGAAGCAAUAAAAGAAGUGGAUUACAAAGUGUCAUCCUUAUUUACCAUCAUAUAUUGUUUUAAUGAAAAUAUUUUAUUUUAUUAUGCAUCUGAUUGUUAUUGUAAAUGUUAUGAGGGAUAGUAUGAAUUUUA